CCGUGCAGACACAGACGGAUUUUGGUUGUUCCAUUUUUUUUGUGGCUAUUUGGCUUAUUUGGUUUGUUUGCGUUGGCACCUUUCAACACCCCUAAUUCCCACAUGUAUACACGCGACCACUCAUUUACACUGCUGACUAAACACUCACCAUUGUUAAUUGUAUUUACUUUACUUCAGUUAAUAAAUAUAUUUUGUUAUUCUUUAUCUCCACGUUGUCUCACUUUUUGUUAUGGGCUUCGAGCCGGUUCGUGACAAGUGGGGGCUCGUCCAGGAUCCUAAGGUUGGUUCCUAGACAUUUUGCCGUAUAGCACUUUGUUACAUUAUGAAGGACUAAUACUAGUGUCAUUUGGCUUACUAGUAUGUGUGUUGUGUUUGGGAGAAAACGUGGAGUUAAUGUUCAACUCUGUAGGUGCUUUGUUUUGCAUCUUUUGUUACAGCUUGUUUGAGUUAUAAUGUUUGGUGUCCGGUACUGGUUUCGUUUGUUUGGUAAACUUGCCACUGCGGUGGAUAGUUCGUUGUGUUCUGCAUUGGAGAAAGUACAUUGGUUAGUUUCCAGGCCCCUGCCCAGGCUGAAGACUCCGGCUCUACUCGCUGUUGGGACAUCGGUCCAAGGAGCUGAAUUCAGAGGACCCGGACCCGUAAAUUCACCGUGAAGAUCUGAAGAACCAUGGAAAUAUAUUUUGCAGGCAUCGGCAGGCCACGGCACUCGCUCUGGCGCACUGCGGGGCAGAGGUCAUGGCUGUCACAAGCACGCAGGCUGACCUGGACAGCAUUCUGCUGGAGGUACCCCACCCCCUGCACCACCCGUUGCUUGCUCUAUUGUCCCUCUAUAGGACCUCCUCUCUACCAGCCCUAUACACAUACCAGAGGCUGACUAGUUUCCCCGCUGCUCUCUUCAUCUCCCUGGCCCAUUGUUUCUGCUCCGCUCCAUGACGAGAGAUGAGAGAUUCGUUGUGGUGAUUCUCCUGCUGUCCGUUCUCUCUGUGUGAUUGGUUCUGGUGGUCCGUUCUCUCUGUGUGAUUGGUUCUGAUGUCUGGUUCUGGUUGUUGCCUGCAGUGUCCAUCAAUCAGGCCAGUGUGUGUGGACCCAGGGAACUGGGGGGCCACAGAGGAGGCACUAUGGGAGGCUGUUGGUAACGUUGAUUUCCUGGUGAAUAAAGCAGCCUGCCCUUCCUAGAGGUUGCCCCCAACUAGUUUGGCAUGUAAAUAAGCUCUCUUCGCUGUCCUUUGAUUCAUUAUUGAUUCAAAUUAAAGUGAAACACAAGUCACUCAAGACAAGGUAUUAGACCUGUGUUUUAGACCUAGAGUACAUGUAUUAGACCUACAGUACAUGUUUUAGACCUGUGUUUUAGGUCUACAGUACAUGUAUUAGACCUGUGUAUUUAGACAUACAGUACAUGUAUUAGACCUGUGUUUUAGACCUACAUAAAGUACAGUGUAUUCGGAGAGUAUUCAGACUUUUUCCACAUUUCAUUACAUUACAGCCUUAUUCUAAAAUGGAUGAAAUGUUCUCCAAAGCAAUCUACACAAAAUGACAAAGCGAAAAAAGUUAAGAAAUUUUUGCAAAUGUAUAAAAACUGAAAUAACUGUGAUGGAACAUUUUAUGCUGGUUCUUUUCUAUUUACCAAUUUCUGUGUUCUAUAUUUGUGCUUUUCUAAUAACCGUUUUCUGUGUUUAUGCAAGUGACUGACUGAACGAACCCUCACUAUCAGUAUCUGCAGUUUGGCAGUACGUCCAGACCCUUGUUUUGAGAACGACAGAUAUCUGUUUCAAUGUCUCAGCUUAGAGAGAAGAAGCCGCAUGAGGUAUUGGUCUGUCACAUGCAUGACCCAGUACUGGUCAGUCACAUGAAUGAAGCAAACGUUAGUGAUGAAUUAAUUAUGAACGAAUAAGCUAAAUCAUGCAAAUAUAACUUGUCUGCAUAUAAGAGAACUAACGGGACUGCCCUGAUAGCGCUCCUGAUCGACAUGUGUGCAUUGAGUUGGUUCGAACCUCUUCAGCAUGCUGAUAAUAAACAAUGAUUCAUACAA